rnacentral:rRNA from 1 species
UACGAAGGGGGCUAGCGUUGUUCGGAAUUACUGGGCGUAAAGCGCACGUAGGCGGAUCGAUCAGUCAGGGGUGAAAUCCCAGGGCUCAACCCUGGAACUGCCUUUGAUACUGUCGAUCUGGAGUAUGGAAGAGGUGAGUGGGAUUCCGAGUGUAGAGGUGAAAUUCGUAGAUAUCUGCAGGAACACCCGUGGCGAAAGCGGCGCGCUGGACCACUACUGACGCUGAGGAACGAAAGCUAGGGGAGCAAACAGG